rnacentral:rRNA from 1 species
UACGUAGGGGGCAAGCGUUGGUCCGGAUUUAUUGGGCGUAAAGAGCGUGUAGGCGGCCUUACAGGUCAGCUGUGAAACAUCGAGGCUCAACCUCGAGACGUCGGUUGAAACCGUAUGGCUAGAGUCCGGAAGAGGAGAGUGGAAUUCCCGGUGUAGCGGUGAAAUGCGCAGAUAUCGGGAAGAACACCCGUGGCGAAGGCGGAUCUCUGGACAGUUCCUGACGCUGAGGCGCGAAGGCCAGGGGAGCAAACGGG